rnacentral:rRNA from 1 species
UUGCCCUACGGGAGGCAGCAGUGGGGAAUAUUGCACAAUGGGGGAAACCCUGAUGCAGCGACGCCGCGUGGGCGACGAAGCGCUCCGGCGCGUAAAGCCCUGUCAGCAGGGAAGAAAAAAGACAGUACCUGACCAAGAAGCCCCGGCUAACUACGUGCCAGCAGCCGCGGUAAUACGUAGGGGGCAAGCGUUAUCCGGAUUCACUGGGCGUAAAGGGAGCGCAGGCGGCACGGCAAGUCUGGUGUGAAAUCCCGGGGCUUAACCCCGGAACUGCUUUGGAAACUGUGCGGCUGGAGUGCAGGAGG